rnacentral:rRNA from 1 species
AUUGAACGCUGGCGGCAUGCCUUACACAUGCAAGUCGAGCGGUAAGGCCCCUUCGGGGGUACACGAGCGGCGGACGGCAGAGUAACACGUAGGAACGUACCCCAAAGUGAGGGAUAGCCCACCGAAAGGUGGAUUAAUACCGCAUGUGGUCUUCGGAUUAAAGCAGUAAUGCGCUUUGGGAACGGCCUGCGUAAGAUUAGCUUGUUGGUGAGGUAAUGGCUCACCAAGGCGACGAUCUUUAGCUGGUCUGAGAGGAUGAUCAGCCUGACUGGGACUGAGACACGGCCCAGACUCCUACGGGAGGCAGCAGUAGGGAAUUUUCCACAAUGGGCGAAAGCCUGAUGGAGCAACGCCGCGUGCAGGAUGAAGGCCUUCGGGUUGUAAACUGCUUUUGUCUGAGAAGAAUAUGACGGUAACAGACGAACAAGGGUCUGCUAACUACGUGCCAGCCGCCGCGGUAA